UGCCAGGAUAAGGAGAUGUGAGAUAAUCUGCCUUCUGAAUAGAUCUUCUUGGUCAUCUUCAGCAAGGAAAUUCUAAUUCCUGAGGAGCUCCACCCCUGAAGUUCUCCAGACCUGACUGGUACAGUUCCAAUUCAGGUCCAGCUGCAACUUGCCCCCUUCCUUCGGAAAAGGGUGGGGCAUUGCUUCCCUGUGCUGCCUCCAGAUUGUUGGUGGGCUCCACCAAUCAAACAGCAGACCCUCGAUCCUGGGACUCAACCCAAGGUCUGAAAAGAGCCAUGCACCAAAGAGAGAAGCACCUCAGGAGGUGACCUCCACAGCAGAAUGGGAGAAGGUUCCCUCCAGAGCCAGGGCUGCUCACAGCGGUGCACUACCAGUUCUCCCAGUCCAGCUGGAGAACAGGUAUGAGGCCCUGGCAACACUGGAGGAGGAAGGAGAGGAGGCCACUCCAUGCACUGAACAGACUGAAGGAGGCAAGUUGACCCGAAAGAAGAGACGCCGAGUGCUCGUCAGAGGGAACUCCAUCCUGAGAGGUACAGAGGGUCCCAUCUGUUGCCAGGAUCCUUGACACGCAAGGUCUCCUGUCUGUCUGGAGUAAGGAUUCAGGCUGUGACAGAGGUGAUCCUUGCCAUUAUCUGGCCCACUGAUUACUACCCCAUGGUACUAACUCAUGUGGGCACUAAUGAUAUUGCCAGGAGAAGCCCAGAUCAUCUGAUGAGGGACUACCAUGCUCUGAGGGGCAAGCUGAAGGAGACAGGGGUCACAGGUGGUCUUCUCAUUGGUCCUUCCAGUGAGCAGAUGUGGACGGCACCAUAAGACCUGCAUCAGAGAGGUCAAUUUGUGCCUUUGGGAAUGGUGUCUCGAGGCGGGCUUCGGCUUCUUGGACCAUGACCCAUACUUCAAGACAAGAGACGUGCUUGGGUGGGAUGGGCUUCACCUCUCCCUCAAAGGUAAGCAACUCUUUCAGGUUGGCUGAUCUCUUCCAAUGGGCUUUAAACUAGGUUUAUUGGGGGAAGGGGAGGAUGAGGUUAGAGGGAGCCUCAGAACACCAAACCAAGUGUCCCCCACAAGAACAGCCCAGCCAAGACUGAUGACAAUCACAAGAAGUACCCAGGUAAGAGACAGGGGCCCAGAUAGUCCUGGGAUUAGGUGGGUGGUGCAUACACCUUCAGGAGGCCUUAAAUGCCUCUACACUAAUGCUCGUAGUAUGGAGAACAAGCAGGAGAAAUUUGCCCUCCUGCUAGCUAACACAAACCCAGACAUAGUGGGGCUCACUGAAAUGUGGUCAUCAUGGGUCAGGUCAGGUCAGCUCGCGGAGGUAGUUAAGUCAAAGGAUGUGGUCAUCAUGGGUGACCUAAACUAUCCAGACAUCUACUGGGAAGAGCAGCCAGCCAGGUCUGACCACUUACAUAGGUUCCUAGCUGAGUUACAGGACCUCCAUCUAACCCAGGAGGUGCACAGUCCCACCAGGGGAAACGCCUUGUUAGAUCUGGUCCUGGCCACAAACGACGACCUGGUGAGGGGACUGCGGGUGCUCGAUCACUUGGGCGAUAGUGAUCAUCCCCUACUGGAAUUCACCAUCCAGCUCAGGGUGGCAAAGGCCUGCAGCAAGACAACAGCCCUGGGACUUCAGGAGGGUGGAUUUCAUUGAGCUAAGGAGAUGAGUCAGGGAGGCACUGAGGCCCCAGAGGGGUGGGGAGUUGGGAGUCCAAGAAGAGUGGUCGUUCCUGAAGGAGACGAUCCUCCAAGCCCAA